GGCUCCUUGGUCUAGGGCUAUUAUCCUUGCUUAGGGUGCGAUAGGUCCCUGGUUCAAAUCCCAGAUGAGCCC